rnacentral:lncRNA from 1 species
UACAGACCUCAACUUAAGUUUGCUCUGACUUUUAUCUUUCAUAGGACAAUGAACUUGCUCAACUACCUGGAAACAGGUAACAUGUAUCGUUAGGUUCCAGCAACCUCGAAAUCUUUAACUGAAGGAGCUUGGCCAACCUUCUCAUUUCAAUUUGGAACAUUUGUGGAAUACCUAUGAAGUUCCAGAUUUGGCAUCGUUCACUCUGUAGGAAAUUAGAAUCUUUUCGAUGUGGGAGAAGGAGAAGAAGACAUGUGAUUGUCAGCAUUCCAGGCCUUUUCUCUCCCCUGAACUAAAACAUGCAUUUAUGGGCUGGUCCGGAAACAGAUUUGAGUAAUAUGGCAACUAAACUCUACGGUUCAAUGAUUGGCAGUGUCCCCGAGAAUGAGUUACCUCCAACGUGGCUCUUCAACACCAGGCCAUGCAAUGGGGGAGGUAACUCCCAGUGCCAAGGUGUCAUCAGGUGGACUAGAGGACCAGUCAAGUGACCUGAAGAAUGGCUACACUUCAGCUUUCAUCAAAAAAAAUUUUGGAAGGUCACCACCACUUCGAUUGAUUGAAUUUAUCAGCAAUUCACGUAUUAUAUCUGGUGACUUUAACACUGGAAAUUGUGUUACUUCUGGGGAAAAGUUACAGUGCUAGUUAACACUUAUUUUUCAAAACUUUAAGUUUUUUGCCCCAACUGUGUUGAGGUAUAAUUGACAAAUAAAAAUUGUAUGUAUUUAAGAUUUC